rnacentral:rRNA from 2 species
AACCUGCGGUAGGAUCAUUG